rnacentral:rRNA from 1 species
AUUGAACGCUGGCGGCAGGCUUAACACAUGCAAGUCGAGCGAGCGGCGGACGGGUGAGUAAUGUAUGGGGAACUGCCCGAUGGAGGGGGAUAACUACUGGAAACGGUGGCUAAUACCGCAUACUAUCGGAUGAACCCAGAUUGGAUUAGCUAGUAGGUGGGGUAAUGGCUCACCUAGGCGACGAUCUCUAGCUGGUCUGAGAGGAUGAUCAGCCACACUGGAACGUAUACACGGCCCAGACUCCUACGUGAGGCAGCAGUGGGGAAUAUUGCACAAUGGGCGCAAGCCUGAUGCAGCCAUGCCGCGUGUAGGAAGAAGGCCUUCGGGUUGUAAAGAACUUUCAGCGAGGAGGCGUUACCCGCAGAAGAAGCACCGGCUAACUCCGUGCCAGCAGCCGCGGUAAUAC